UGGUAUUUUUGUCAUGAAUUGUGUGUCUGCCACCUGGCGAUAAAAUACAUCAGUUUACAGGCAUUAAAUAAAGUAAUUUCGGUCGUCUUUAUAACAUGAUAAAUUCUGACCAUGACGUUGCUGGAUUCUGCUUCAGCUGCUGCUCGCUUCUCAUGUCUGCUUAACCAGGUAAGUUUAGCCUUUCAAAUAUGAGUUAAUAGUUGAGUUCUGUAUUAAAUUAGAAAUAAAUAGUUGAGAAUUGAUCUGUGUUCAGUUACACCCAUUGUAGUGAUUCGCUUGAAUCAUGAGUGAGCAGUAAACUGGCGACUUAGGCGAUCUAUUUAAACUCAUGUAAUUUGGUGUUAAUUAGAUGUAUCAUGUUUGUUUGUUGCUGUUUAUGUGAUCAACGUACGCAAUGACAGGUGUAUUUAACGUUACUGCAAAGGAAAAAUAUUUGAAUAGCAGCAGAUCUGAUGUAAUACGCUCUAGUCUAAACUAUCGUUACGUGAUGAAUUAUUGUCGAUCUCACAAACAAUUUAAUAUAUAUAUUUAUAUAAUGAAAGUGUGCUUUUCAUAUUGAGUUAAUCAUAUUGCCCUAACGCUAACGUUUAAACUUUGAAAAAAUAGAUUAACCCAUUACUAAUAUUGUCACAACUUGUCAAUGACAUGAGUGUAUCAACAGUUUAUCAAUUUAACAUGUUAAUCAACUUCUCUUCACACCUCUGUGUUAUUUGACUGAAUUAUUUUUUGUCUCACUUUUUAUCCUGUGUUAUCAGAUUAUUGGUUCUGCACUGACUCGUUGUUAGUCUUUGCUUGCUGAAAAAAAAAUGACAUCAUCUUUUUAAACUUUGUGUUUAUGCUAUUAACAUACUUCUUUGCAGUAUUGGAUGCCAUCUAGUCCUGAUUGCAUUUUGACUCCAGUUCCAGUCCAGCACAGUUAUACCUGCCGAUCAACAACCUAAAGCUAUCAAGCAGAUGUGUGGGCAGCUGUGAGCCAAACUCUUAGGAACAUUGGUUUUCCAGGAUGAGGACUGGUCAUCACUCCAAUGGAGAUACAAAAAGCAGCUUGGACACAGCAUCCAAAGUGGACACUUCUUGCAAGACACAGGGUGAUGGAAAGAGCAGAAGAUCAGUGAUCAGGGGAAGCUUGCUUGUACAAAAAGUGUAGAAUGAUGCUGAGUCGUCAAGAAAAGUCACAGAAGAGCUGAAGCCAACUGAGCAGAACACAGAAGUGGGGGGUCAAGGCUAUUGCUCUUAUGGACAGAGCCCUUCAUGUACUGUAUGUCAACAGAAGUGCCGGCCGCUUGUGCUUUCACUUCAGUUAACAGUUGUUUAUUUCUCUGAGUCCUGGAAGUCCUGCUUUAAGUUUGUAGCAUUCUGUUUAGUUUUAUCUGUGAGGACAGAAGUAAGACAGGUUCUCAGUCUUCUACCACAGAGUCAUUGUGUUUGAUCUAGACUGGCUCAUCACUAAUGCCUGAAGCACAUCUGACUCGUGUUUCUGAAAGGGUUCAAAUAAAUUCAACCCAACACAGAAAACAUUUACACAGUGAUGUAGCCCAGAUCAGUGAGGCCUGCUGGCCAUGUUAGUGGAUGUAAACUAAACACUGCAUUUGUCCCAGCCCUUGCCUCUUGGAUUUCUUGAAGCAGUAAGUGAAUGAGGCUAUAAGAGAUUCACAUGUGAUUUAACAGUCAGAGGAAUGAUUGUGGAACUGUGGAGCAUUAUUUACACAUGCAUAAAUGUGUGGUGGGAAAGAAGAAGAACUGGGAGAACUUUCAACAUUUCUGUCACAAACCAAAGCUAUCUGUCAUAUACCCGAGGCACUUCUCUGAAAUUGCAUGAAGAAACAAAUAAAUAAAAUGCACACAGUGUCUACAUUUUUUUCAGUAUUACAACUAUUUAUUCGAGUUCUUUUCUUGUGAUAAAUACAAAUAAAAUAAAAAAUACAAUUUUUUUUUCAUAAAAAACAGGCUACAAAGGUUUGUCCCUCAAUAUAAACUCAACCCUAUUACGCUAGCAUUGUUCCACCUAUAGCAAUUUAUUUGUAUUAUUACAUCACAGACAGGAAGUGACAUCAUUCAGCUCUUUUUAACAGCACGGUGCAAAAGAAGGCAAGAUAUAUUUUCAU